rnacentral:rRNA from 1 species
AACGCGAAGAACCUUACGCGAAGAACCUAACGCGAAGAACCUUACCGCGAAGAACCUAACGCGAAGAACCUAACGCGAAGAACCUAACGCGAAGAACCUAACGCGAAGAACCUAACGCGAAGAACCUUACCAGGCCUUGACAUCCAGUGAAUCUGCCAGAGAUGGCGGAGUGCCUUCGGGAACACUGAGACAGGUGCUGCAUGGCUGUCGUCAGCUCGUGUCGUGAGAUGUUGGGUUAAGUCCCGUAACGAGCGCAANCCAGUCCUCAGUUACCAGCACGUUAAGGUGGGCACUCUAAGGAGACUGCCGGUGACAAACCGGAGGAAGGUGGGGAUGACGUCCAGUCAUCAUGGCCCUUACGGCCUGGGCUACACACGUGCUACAAUGGUCGGUACAAAGGGUUGCCAAUCCGCNAGGUGGAGCUAAUCCCAUAANAACCGAUCGUAGUCCGGAUCGCCACUCUGCAACUCGACUGCGUNGAAGUCNGAANCNCUAGUAAAUCGCGAAUCANAAUUGUCGCCGGUGAAUACGUUCCCNGGGCCUUGUUACACCACCG